UGAUUGCGCGGGAUCCGAUCCGGUAGUAGUCAAGCGAUGGGGUGACGCAGGAGGGUAGCUCCGCCAGUCAGUGGUAAUACUGGUGUAAGCGUGUAGGCUAUCGGGAUAGGCAAAUCCGUCCUGAUGUUAGGCUGAGACGUGAUGCGUAGCCGAUUGAGGCGAAGUAGAGUGAUCCCAUGCUGCCGAGAAAAGCCUCUAGCGAGUGUUUAUGCGGCCCGUACCCCAAACCGACACAGGUGGUCAGGUAGAGAAUACCGAGGCGUUCGGGUGAACUGUGGUUAAGGAACUCGGCAAAAUGCCCCCGUAACUUCGGGAGAAGGGGGGCCGUGUGGCUUGAAGCCCCGUGCGGGCUAGGGCUGUGCGGCCGCAGAGAGCAGCGAGAAGCGACUGUUUACUAAAAACACAGGUCCAUGCGAAGUCGCAAGACGAUGUAUAUGGACUGACGCCUGCCCGGUGCUGGAACGUUAAGGGGACCGGUUAGCCUUUCGGGGCGAAGCUGAGAACUUAAGCGCCAGUAAACGGCGGUGGUAACUAUAACCAUCCUAAGGUAGCGAAAUUCCUUGUCGGGUAAGUUCCGACCUGCACGAAUGGCGUAACGACUUCUCGACUGUCUCAACCACAGGCCCGGUGAAAUUGCAUUACGAGUAAAGAUGCUCGUUACGCGCGGCAGGACGGAAAGACCCCGGGACCUUUACUAUAGCUUGGUAUUGGUGCUCGGUUCGGCUUGUGUAGGAUAGGUGGGAGACUGUGAAGCGGUCACGCCAGUGGCUGUGGAGUCAUCGUUGAAAUACCACUCUGGUCGUUCUGGGUGUCUAACCUCGGACCAUGAUCUGGUUCAGGGACAGUGCCUGGUGGGUAGUUUAACUGGGGCGGUUGCCUCCCAAAGGGUAACGGAGGCGCUCAAAGGUUCCCUCAGCCUGGUUGGCAAUCAGGUGUUGAGUGCAAGUGCACAAGGGGGCUUGACUGUGAGACUGACAGGUCGAGCAGGGACGAAAGUCGGAACUAGUGAUCCGGCGCUGGCUGGUGGAAGCGGCGUCGCUCAACGGAUAAAAGGUACCCCGGGGAUAACAGGCUGAUCUUGCCCAAGAGUCCAUAUCGACGGCAUGGUUUGGCACCUCGAUGUCGGCUCGUCGCAUCCUGGGGCUGGAGUAGGUCCCAAGGGUUGGGCUGUUCGCCCAUUAAAGCGGUACGCGAGCUGGGUUUAGAACGUCGUGAGACAGUUCGGUCCCUAUCCGCCGUGCGCGUAGGAGAUUUGAGGAAGGCUGUCCCUAGUACGAGAGGACCGGGAUGGACGGACCUCUGGUGUGCCAGUUGUUCCGCCAGGAGCAUGGCUGGUUGGCUACGUUCGGAAGAGAUAACCGCUGAAAGCAUCUAAGCGGGAAGCUUGUUCCAAGAUGAGAUCUCCCUCUCCUUGUGAGUUAAGGCCCCCAAGAGACGAUUGGGUUGAUAGGCCAGAGAUGGAAGCACCGUGAGGUGUGGAGUUGACUGGUACUAAUAGGCCGAGGACUUGACU
rnacentral:rRNA from 1 species